UGGGGAAUAUUGCGCAAUGGGGGAAACCCUGACGCAGCAACGCCGCGUGAAGGAAGAAGGUCUUCGGAUUGUAAACUUUUGUCUUAUGGGAAGAAAAAAAUGACGGUACCAUAGGAGGAAGCCACGGCUAACUACGUGCCAGCAGCCGCGGUAAUACGUAGGUGGCGAGCGUUGUCCGGAAUUACUGGGUGUAAAGGGCGUGUAGGCGGGACUUUAAGUCAGAUGUGAAAGACCGGGGCUCAACUCCGGGGUGGCACUUGAAACUGGGUUUCUUGAGGGCAGGAGAGGAAAGCAGAAUUCCUGGUGUAGCGGUGAAAUGCGUAGAAAUCAGGAGGAAUACCAGUGGCGAAGGCGGCUUUCUGGACUGACCCUGACGCUGAGGUGCGAAAGCGUGGGUAGCAAACA
rnacentral:rRNA from 1 species